GUACACAGGUGCUGCAUGGCUGUCGUCAGCUCGUGUCGUGAGAUGGUUGGGUUAAGUCCCGCAACGAGCGCCAACCCCUGCAUUCAGUUGCCAGUCGGGUAAUGGCCGGGCACUCUGGAAGGACUGCCAUCGACAAGAUGGAGGAAGGUGGGGAUGACGUCAAGUCAUCAUGGCCCUUAUGUCCAGGGCGACACACGUGCUACAAUGGCCGGCACAACGGGAAGCGAGUUCGCGAGGACGAGCGGAUCCCUCAAAGCCGGUCGCAGUUCGGAUUGAAGUCUGCAACUCGACUUCAUGAAGCUGGAAUCGCUAGUAAUCGUGGAUCAGCCAAGCCGCGGUGAAUACGUUCCGGGCCUU
rnacentral:rRNA from 1 species